UGGCGUUUGGUUCUGUAGAUGAUCUCAUACAAUUACACAAGGAAAACAGAUGUUCCGGGGCCAUUUUGUGACAAGAAGUCCAACGAAUUCCUACUUCAACAGCACUCAGCAGGACAUUUCAUAAAACUGAUUCAUGGCAUGGUAUUCGCCCCUGCAGCCUUAGUCCAGUGCCUGAAGAUCUGCUUCCUUGUAGAGUUUCACUCCAGCCCUAAUCAAACCCACCGGAUUCAGGAUCUUCUGUACCAUCUGAAUAUUAGAGCCAGAUGUGUUGGACAUCAGCUCAGCAGGAUAGAAAUUUUCCUGGAAUAAUGGUGGACAUCAAGGUGGAGACUUCUCUGUAUGGAAUGGCUUACUCCAUGCAAGACAUAAAUCUUCGAACCCAGACGGCAAAUAUUACAUCUUCUCUAAAGAGAACCACACAGUUAAGUUGAGUGGUGGCAUGACUGCAGUGUGAGCAUAUGCUGUUUAACAAGGACCUACAACAUGGUUUGAUUUAUCUGCCUCCUGGACACCAGAAGCUGGAAGUAAGAAAGGGAUUUUGAGAUGAGUGUUUGAAACAGUGCCUUUCCUCUUACUCGCUGAUGUGUUGUGCUUUGCAUGAACAAACAGGUAAGGUGAUGCUUGAGCUGUUGGAUUUUUUUGUUAUUGUUGGGAUGGCACUGUAGCACAGUAAGGACAUUUGCUGCCUCACAGCUCCAGUGUGUGUGUAUGUGCGUGUGUGUGUACAGUAUGUGUGUGUGUUCUUCUUUCAGUUACUUCAGUUUCUGUAAUCCUGUGCCAAGUCUUUUGAAUACUGUGUGAAUUUACACUCACCAGUUAAUUCUGCAACUAAAUGAUACAUGAUUGUUUUACAGUGCAUCUUAUUUUAUGUCACUGUACAGUAAUUAGUACCCUAGAAUUUCAUUGUGUGAUUAAGCCAGAUGCUUGUGCUGUGGUCGGUCAGCUUUCUGCCAUUAAACAUUUAAUGAGAUGAUUGUAACUAUACACUCGCCACGCUCUUUUAUAGUAAC